GUUGUUGCUCGUGAUGACUCCCGGAGGUGCAGUUGGCUUUAGGUCAUCCUUUCACCCAUGGUGGUAUUGUUGUUGCUCGUGAUGACUCCCGGAGGUGCAGUUGGCUUUAGGUCAUCCUUGGAUCAGAAGAAAGAUUGACCUGAGCUUGUCUUUUUUUUUUUUUUUACAAAUACUAUUUGAACCCAGGUCUGCUUGGUUUAUCCAGACAGUACCAAAGCCUGGACCUAAUCCCUCACAGAGAAGAACCAUAUUACAAUCUAAUCUAUCUAUGAUACUGUUUAUUCAUAGUGGGAGUUUUUCCCUGUCAGAAUCUGUAAUGCCACUUCGGGAAUAGGAGUACAGUAUUACACUCAGUAUUACACUCAGCAGUACACUCAGUAGUAGUACACUCAGCAGUACACUCAGUAGUAGUACACUCAGCAGUACACUCAGUAGUAGAACACUCAGCAGUACACUCAGUAGUAGUACACUCAGUAGUAGUACACUCAGUAGUAGUUCACUCAGCAGUACACUCAGUAGUAGUUCACUCAGCAGUACACUCAGUAGUAGAACACUCAGCAGUAGUACACUCAGUAGUAGUACACUCAGUAGUAGUACACUCAGUAGUAGUACACUCAGUAGUAGUACACUCAGUAGCAGUACACUCAGUAGUAGUACACUCAGUAGUAGUACACUCAGUAGUAGUACACUCAGUAGUAGUACACUCAGUAGUAGUACACUCAGUAGUAGUUCACUCAGCAGUACACUCAGUAGUAGUUCACUCAGCAGUACACUCAGUAGUAGUACACUCAGUAGUACACUCAGCAGUACACUCAGUAGUAGUACACUCAGUAGUACACUCAGCAGUACACUCAGUAGUAGUUCACUCAGCAGUACACUCAGUAGUAGUACACUCAGUAGUACACUCAGCAGUACACUCAGUAGUAGUACACUCAGCAGUACACUCAGUAGUAGUACACUCAGUAGUAGUACACUCAGUAGUACACUCAGCAUACACUCAGUAGUAGUUCACUCAGCAGUACACUCAGUAGUAGUUCACUCAGCAGUACACUCAGUAGUAGUACACUCAGCAGUACACUCAGUAGUACACUCAGUAGUAGUACACUCAGCAGUACACUCAGUAGUAGUACACUCAGCAGUACACUCAGUAGUAGUACACUCAGUAGUACACUCAGCAGUACACUCAGUAGUAGUUCACUCAGCAGUACACUCAGUAGUAGUACACUCAGCAGUACACUCAGCAGUAGUUCACUCAGCAGUACACUCAGUAGUAGUUCACUCAGCAGUACACUCAGUAGUAGUUCACUCAGCAGUACACUCAGUAGUAGUACACUCAGUAGUACACUCAGCAGUACACUCAGUAGUAGUACACUCAGUAGUAGUACACUCAGCAGUACACUCAGUAGUAGUACACUCAGUAGUACACUCAGCAGUACACUCAGUAGUAGUACACUCAGUAGUACACUCAGUAGUAGUACACUCAGCAGUACACUCAGUAGUAGUACACUCAGCAGUACACUCAGUAGUAGUAGUACACUCAGCAGUACACUCAGUAGUAGUUCACUCAGCAGUACACUCAGUAGUAGUACACUCAGCAGUACACUCAGUAGUAGUACACUCAGUAGUAGUACACUCAGCAGUACACUCAGUAGUAGUACACUCAGCAGUACACUCAGUAGUAGUACACUCAGCAGUACACUCAGUAGUACACUCAGCAGUACACUCAGUAGUAGUACACUCAGUAGUACACUCAGUAGUACACUCAGUAGUAGUAGUACACUCAGUAGUACACUCAGUAGUACACUCAGUAGUAGUAGUACACUCAGUAGUAGUAGUACACUCAGUAGUACACUCAGUAGUAGUACACUCAGUAGUACACUCAGUAGUAGUACACUCAGCAGUACACUCAGUAGUAGUACACUCAGCAGUACACAGCAGUAGUAGUACACUCAGUAGUAGUAGUACACUCAGCAGUACACUCAGUAGUAGUACACUCAGCAGUACACUCAGUAGUAGUACACUCAGUAGUAGUAGUACACUCAGUAGUAGUACACUCAGUAGUAGUAGUACACUCAGUAGUAGUAGUACACUCAGUAGUAGUACACUCAGCAGUACACUCAGUAGUAGUACACUCAGUAGUAGUAGUACACUCAGUAGUACACUCAGUAGUACACUCAGUAGUAGUACACUCAGUAGUAGUACACUCAGUGAUCCAUCCGUGCUAUCUUUUCCUUUUUAUUUGCAUGGAAGGGUUCAGUCUCCCAUUUCCACCCCAUAGUGGUUGUUUUAUUUGCAUGGAAAGGUUCAGUCUCCCAUUUCCACCCCAUAGUGGUUGUUUUAUUUGCAUGGAAAGGUUCAGUCUCCCAUUUCCACCCCAUAGUGGUUGUUUUAUUUGCAUGGAAAGGUUCAGUCUCCCAUUUCCACCCCAUAGUGGUUGUUUUAUUUGCAUGGAAAGGUUCAGUCUCCCAUUUCCACCCCAUAGUGGUUGUUUUAUUUGCAUGGAAAGGUUCAGUCUCCCAUUUCCACCCCAUAGUGGUUGUUUAUCGUUGUUGAUGACGAUGAUGAGUGUGUAGAGACCAUUGUGUGUGUUACACCAUCACCUCGUCAACCUACCCAAUACCUAACCUAACCUAUACCUUAACCCUUCAUAACUAGUUUCCUAUCGAUGGAUUGAUCUAUUAUUGACCCCUACCCUUCAUAACUAGUCUCCUAUCGAUAGAUUGAUCUAUUAUUGACCCCUACCCUUCAUAACUAGUCUCCUAUCGAUGGAUUGAUCUAUCAGACCCCUAUCUGUCUGGUAGACCCAGGGCCGGCUCCAGGCAUAAGUGACAUAAGUUCAGACGGGGUCUCAACUCACGGAGAGUAAGAAUAGUAACACCAGGUGCAAGUUGGACAUGUGGUUGUGCAUCAGCAGUUUUUCUCUUAUGUCAGUCACUGACAGUCACUCAAUUAGCCUUGUCUGCUAACAACUGUUAGAUUGGUAAGUUAGUCUAGCCAGCUUGUAGUAAUCAUGGUCAAAUAUCGACCAGGCACGCAGGGCACGUGUCCAGAGGCCCUGACUUCCAGGGCCCCCUCCUCAUUGAUUUUGUUAGUCACUCUCACUCAGAUAUCAUUAACAUGGCAUACACUACCGGUCAAAAGUUUUAGAACACCUUCUCAUUCAAGAGUUUGUCUUUAUUUGUACUAUUUUCAACAUUGUAGAAUAAUAGUGAAGACAUCAAAACUGUGAAAUAACACAUAUGGAAUCAUGUAGUAACCAAAAAAGUAUUAAACAAAUCAAAAUAUUUUAUAUAUUUGAGAUUCUUCAAAUAUCCACCCUUUGCCUUGAUGACAGCUUUGCACACUCUUGGCAUUCUCACAACCAGCUUCACUUGGAAUGCUUUUCCAACCGUCUUGAAGGAGUUCCCACAUAUGUUGAGCACUUGUUGGCUGCUUUUCCUUCACUCUGCAGUCAGACUCAUCCCAAACCAUCUCAAUUUGGUUGAGGUCGUGGGAUUGUGGAGGUCAGGUCAUCUGAUGCAGCACUUGAUCACGCUCCUUGGUCAAAUAGCUAUUACACAGCCUGGAGGUGUGUUGGGUCAUUGUCCUGUUGAAAAACAAAUGAUAGUCCCACUAAGCCCAAACCAGGUAGGAUGGCGUAUCCCUGCAUAAUGCUGUGGUAACCAUGCUGGUUAUGUGCCUUGAAUUCUAAAUAAAUCACUGACAGUGUCACCAGCAAAGCACCCCCACACCAUCACACCACCUCCUCCAUGCUUUACGGUGGGAAAUACACAUGCGGAGAUCAUCCGUUCAGCCACACCUCGUCUCACAAAGACACGGCGGUUGGAACCAAAAAUCUCAAAUUUGGACUCCAGACCAUAGGACAAAUGUUGAUCCGUCUAAAGUUCAUUGCUCAUGUUUCUUAGCCCAAGCAAGUCUCUUCUUAUUAUUGGUGUCCUUUAGUAGUGGUUUGAUCAUGAAGGCCUGAUUCACACAGUUUCUGAGGCUGGUAGCUCUAAUGAACUUAUCCUCUGCAGCAGAGGUAACUAUGAGUCUUCCUUUCCUGUGGCGGUCCUCAUGAGCGCCAAUGUAAUCAUUGCGCUUGAUGGUUUUUGCGACUGCACUUGAAGAAACUUUCAAAGUUCUUGAAAUGUUCUGUAUCGACUGACCUUCAUGUCUUAAAGUAAUGAUGGACUGUAGUUUCUCUUUGCUUAUUUGAGCUGUUCUUGCCAUAAUAUGGACUUGGUCUAUUACCAAAUAGGGUUAUGUUCUGUAUACUCCCCUACCUUGUCACAACACACUGAUUGGCUCAAAUGCAUUAAGAAGGAAACAAAUUCCACAAAUUAUCCUGUCAAUUGAAAUACAUUCCAGGUGACUACCUCGUGGAGCUGGUUGAGAGAAUGCCAAGCAUGUGGAAAGCUGUCAUGAAGGCAAAGGGUGACUAUUUGAUUUGUCUGACACUUUUUUGGUUACUAAUGAUUCCAAAUGUGUUAUUUCAUGGUUUUGAUGUUUUCAUUAUUAUUCUACAAUGUAGAAAAUAGUAAAAAUAAAGAAAAAACCUUGAAAUAACUGGAAGUGUAAGUCAUGGCAAAAUGUGUAGAAUUGAAGAAAAUUCUACACACAAAAUUCUCUCCGCCGUCGGGAGCGGAGGAGGGGGGAGGAACCAAAAUGUUUCGCCUGCAACCAAAUCUCGUUUAGGGUCUUCAAACUGCUAGAGCCAUCCCUGGGUAGACCCUUACCAGAACAUCCACCCUCAUAACCUCCACCACAGUGUUAGAGUUACCAAUAGUUACCAUUAUUUACCAAUUGUUUUAUAUAAUGCCAACCAUGCAUUUUAGGAAUCUUUGUUGUAGCUUGUUCGAUGGGACAGUCACAAAAAUGUAAAAUGAAACGAUAUACAAAGAAUGUGUGUCAUGAAGUGGGAACAAAAUGUGGCAUUCCUCCUGACAUCUUGUUCACCGCCUGUUAUUAUUCAAUGUAAAUAUCAAUACUGUAUGUUACAAUAAAAUAAUACCCCCCCAACUAA
ensembl:lncRNA